rfam:Triticum urartu cultivar G1812 contig1235475, whole genome shotgun sequence.
CAUCUACUCCCUCCGUCCCGAAUUAUUUGUCGCAGAAAUGGAUGUAUCUAUAACUAAAAAUAUGUCUAGGUACAUCCAUUUUACAUGACAAGUAAUUCCGGGCGGAGGGAGUACAUA